UAUAUUUUAGUGUAAGAUGCACAAAGAGUUUUGAUCUCUUUAGUUAUAGUUUAAUCCUAUAAAGUAUAA
rnacentral:tRNA from 1 species